rnacentral:rRNA from 1 species
UACGUAGGGGCAAGCGUUGUCCGGAUUUACUGGGCGUAAAGAGCGUGUAGGCGGCCAAGCAGGUCCGUUGUGAAAACUGGAGGCUUAACCUCCAGACGUCGACGGAAACCGCGUGGCUAGAGUCCGGAAGAGGAGAGUGGAAUUCCUGGUGUAGCGGUGAAAUGCGCAGAUAUCAGGAAGAACACCAAUGGCGAAAGCACUCUGCUGGGCCGACACUGACACUGAGAGACGAAAGCUAGGGAGCGAAUGGG